rnacentral:rRNA from 1 species
UCCCUACGGGUGGCAGCAGUUGGGAAUCUUGCACAAUGGGGGAAACCCUGAUGCAGCGACGCCGCGUGGAGGACGAAGGGUCUAGGCCUGUAAACUCCUUUUAUCAGGAAAGACUUAGGACGGUACCUGAUGAAUAAGCCCCGGCUAACUACGUGCCAGCAGCCGCGGUAAGACGUAGGGGGCGAGCGUUGUCCGGAUUUACUGGGCGUAAAGGGCGCGUAGGCGGCCUGUUAAGUGUGAAGUGAAAUCUCCAGAGCUCAACUCGGAAACUGCUUUACAUACUGGCAUGGCUUGAGGAAUGCAGAGGUGAAUAGAAUUCCUGGUGUAGCGGUGAAAUGCGUAGAUAUCAGGAGGAAUACCCAUGGCGAAGGCAGUUCACUGGGCAUUAUCUGACGCUGAGGCGCGAAAGCGUGGGGAGCAAACAGGAUUAGAUACCCCGGUAGUCU